GUGGCCUCGCUAUGAUGAAGCCUGUGUUGGUAGGGACAUCUGAUGGUGGCUGAUGAAUGCCAACGGCUCUGACGGCGGAGC
ensembl:snoRNA